UUCCUGAUGUUUAAUUGGAAUCUCCUUUCCCGUAACUUGAAUCCAUUGGUCCUAGACUCUGGAGCGGGAGAAAACAAGCUUGCUCCCUCUUCCAUGGGACAGCCCUUGAGAUAUUUGAAGAUGGCUAUCAUAUCUCCUCUCAGUCUCCUCUUUCUCAAGCUAAACAUACCCAACUCCAGUGCUAUUUCUCGGGGUGGGGUGGGGUACU